GGAAGGCCUGUAGCCCAGUGGCAGGGUUCAUGCCUUGCAUGCAAAAGGUCCUAGGUUCAAUUUAUGGCAUCUCUA